rnacentral:rRNA from 1 species
UACGGAGGACCCAAGCGUUACCCGGAAUUACUGGGCGUAAAGAGUUGCGUAGGCGGCUCGCCAAGUCUUUGCUUAAAUCUCAAGGCUCAACCUUGAGGCUGGCAGAGAAACUGGCGAACUUGAGGAUGGCAGAGGCAAGCGGAAUUCGUGGUGUAGGGGUGAAAUCCGUAGAUACCACGAGGAACACCAAUGGCGUAAGCAGCUUGCUGGGCCACUCCUGACGCUAAGGCACGAAAGCGUGGGUAGCGAACCGG